UAGGGAAUCUUCCGCAAUGGGCGAAAGCCUGACGGAGCAACGCCGCGUGAGUGAAGAAGGUCUUCGGAUCGUAAAACUCUGUUAUUAGGGAAGAACAAAUGUGUAAGUAACUAUGCACGUCUUGACGGUACCUAAUCAGAAAGCCACGGCUAAUUACGUGCCAGCAGCCGCGGUAAUACGUAGGUGGCAAGCGUUAUCCGGAAUUAUUGGGCGUAAAGCGCGCGUAGGCGGUUUUUUAAGUCUGAUGUGAAAGCCCACGGCUCAACCGUGGAGGGUCAUUGGAAACUGGAAAACUUGAGUGCAGAAGAGGAAAGUGGAAUUCCAUGUGUAGCGGUGAAAUGCGCAGAGAUAUGGAGGAACACCAGUGGCGAAGGCGACUUUCUGGUCUGUAACUGACGCUGAUGUGCGAAAGCGUGGGGAUCAAACA
rnacentral:rRNA from 1 species